rnacentral:lncRNA from 1 species
UGGAUUGUUCAGCAUUUCCAUCUGGGGGAAGACAGGCAUUGCCUUCUCGUACACCAAUGGCAUCAUGGAACCGCUUCUUUCUGAAAAUGUCGAGAAACGUUCAGAAUCCAGAAGGGAAUCUCCAUAUGGGAAACCUACCCUCUUACAACUUGUUACCUUCUCUUGGCUAAACCCAUUAUUCACUGUGGGGAUCAAGAAGACGCUUGACCAAAAUGACGUGCCCGAUGUAGACAUCAAGGACUCUGCAGCAUUUCUUUCUCGUUCUUUUAGUGACUGCCUAAAGCAAGUCAAGGAUAAAGAUGGAACCAGAAAUCCAUCCAUCUACAAGGCAAUCUUCAUUUUCAUCAGAAAGAAGGCACUGAUCAAUGCACUUUUUGCGGUCGUAAGUGCUGGAGCAUCAUAUGUUGGCCCAUACCUCAUAGACGACUUUGUCAAUUUCCUUACUGACAAGAAAAG